UUUUUAAAUAGGGGAAAAGAAACCAACAGGGAUUGCCCUAGUAACGGCGAGUGAAGCGGCAACAGCUCAAAUUUGAAAGCUAGCCUUCGGGUUCGCAUUGUAAUUUGUAGAGGAUGAUUUGGGGAAGCCGCCUGUCUAAGUUCCUUGGAACAGGACGUCAUAGAGGGUGAGAAUCCCGUAUGUGACAGGAAAUGGCACCCUAUGUAAAUCUCCUUCGACGAGUCGAGUUGUUUGGGAAUGCAGCUCUAAAUGGGAGGUAAAUUUCUUCUAAAGCUAAAUAUUGGCGAGAGACCGAUAGCGCACAAGUAGAGUGAUCGAAAGAUGAAAAGCACUUUGGAAAGAGAGUUAAAAAGCACGUGAAAUUGUUGAAAGGGAAGCGCUUGCAAUCAGACUUGUUUAAACUGUUCGGCCGGUCUUCUGACCGGUUUACUCAGUUUGGACAGGCCAGCAUCAGUUUCGGCGGCCGGAUAAAGGCUCUGGGAAUGUGGCCUCCACUUCGGUGGAGGUGUUAUAGCCCAGGGUGUAAUACGGCCAGCCGGGACUGAGGUCCGCGCUUCGGCUAGGAUGCUGGCGUAAUGGUUGUAAGCACCCGCUGAAAAAAGGGGCCCA
rnacentral:rRNA from 1 species